UACAUUUUAGUGUAAGAAGCACAAAAAUUUUUGAAAUUUUAAGAUACAGUUUAAUUCUGUAGUAUGUAA
rnacentral:tRNA from 1 species